AGGUUUUUAGAAUGCUAUAUGUAGUUGUGCCUUUUUUAUCAAUUAGUUUUAGGUUUUUAGAAUGCUAUAUGUAGUUGUGCCUUUUUUAUCAAUUAGUUUUAGGUUUUUAGAAUGCUAUACAUUAAUAAGUUUCAGGUUUUUAGAAUGCUAUAUGUAGUUGUGCCUUUUUUAUCAAUUAGUUUUAGGUUUUUAGAAUGCUAUAUGUAGUUGUGUCUUUUUUAUCUAUUAGUUUUUGUUUUUUAUCAAAUGGAAAAUCUGUAAUUAUUAGUUAUUAAUCAUAAAGCCUCUUACUCACAUAACAGUUAUCAAUGAGUGGCCGCACACAUC